GGAGACAUUAAAAUAGCCCUUUCUCUGUUUUCCCCUUGUAAUAGCCCCGUGAUUGGUAAAGCAAUCUAGAAAAAUCUAGCAAGAGUUACCCCAAAAUUAUACCUAUUACUCUUUGAUACCUUGUGUUUAGUCUGACAAGCCAAAUAUUUCGAGAUUUUUUGAACUAAAAGUGAACAAAUAUGGUUACAAUUACUAUGCCACCAUGUUGCUUUUUUGCUUUUGUAGCAAGUUUAGUUUUUACUAUUCUUUGUUUUGUUUUUUUCCAUCAACACUUGAAAAAGAGUACAACAUUGUGUUUCAACGUAAAACUGGAUGUUACUAAUAGAAAGGUUUCGCAGGUCUUAAAGGUUUGAACAACCCUCUAACUAAUUAACUAAGGACGCCAACAAACCAAAUUAUCGACGAUAUUUAAAUUAAAGACCAAAAAGAUUCAGUUGUUACCAUAAGCAUCAAAAUUCGAUGAUCAAAGCCUUCAAAGAAAUGCUAAAAUUCACAUCCUACCCCUUCCGUUGUAUUUUCCAAAUGGUUGACCCAAACCAUUCUACUGGUUGUUCUAAUUUUGACAAAGUUAAGCUGUAAUACGUUUAAAUACUCUAAUACAUUGAUAAAAAUUGCUAUAUAUUCUUA